rnacentral:rRNA from 1 species
ACUCCUACGGGAGGCAGCAGUGGGGAAUAUUGCACWAUGGGCGCAAGCCUGAUGCAGCCAUGCCGCGUGUAUGAAGAAGGCCUUCGGGUUGUAAAGUACUUUCAGCGAGGAGGAAGGUGUUGUGGUUAAUAACCGCAGCAAUUGACGUWMYYSRSAGAAGAAGCACCGGCUAACUCCGUGCCAGCAGCCGCGGUAAU